GGGGCUGUAGCUCAAGUGGUAGAGCGCUCGCUUAGCAUGUGAGAGGCACGGGGAUCGAUUCCCCGCAGCUCCA
rnacentral:tRNA from 1 species